CGACACACUAUCGUUAACUGAAUACAUAGGUUAACGAGGCGAACCGGGGGAACUGAAACAUCUAAGUACCCCGAGGAAAAGAAAUCAACCGAGAUUCCCCCAGUAGCGGCGAGCGAACGGGGAGCAGCCCGGAGUCUGAAUCAGCUUGUGUGUUAGUGGAACGGUCUGGAAAGUCCGACGGUACAGGGUGAUAGUCCCGUACACGAAAAUGCACUUGCUGUGAACUCGAAGAGUAGGGCGGGACACGUGGUAUCCUGUCUGAAUAUGGGGGGACCAUCCUCCAAGGCUAAAUACUCCUGACUGACCGAUAGUGAACCAGUACCGUGAGGGAAAGGCGAAAAGAACCCCGGCGAGGGGAGUGAAAAAGAACCUGAAACCGUGUACGUACAAGCAGUGGGAGCACCUUCGGGUGUGACUGCGUACCUUUUGUAUAAUGGGUCAGCGACUUAUAUUCUGUAGCAAGGUUAACCGUAUAGGGGAGCCGAAGGGAAACCGAGUCUUAACUGGGCGUUAAGUUGCAGGGUAUAGACCCGAAACCCGGUGAUCUAGCCAUGGGCAGGUUGAAGGUUGGGUAACACUAACUGGAGGACCGAACCGACUAAUGUUGAAAAAUUAGCGGAUGACCUGUGGCUGGGGGUGAAAGGCCAAUCAAACCGGGAGAUAGCUGGUUCUCCCCGAAAGCUAUUUAGGUAGCGCCUCGUGAACUCAUCUUCGGGGGUAGAGCACUGUUUCGGCUAGGGGGCCAUCCCGGCUUACCAACCCGAUGCAAACUACGAAUACCGAAGAAUGUUAUCACGGGAGACACACGGCGGGUGCUAACGUCCGUCGUGAAGAGGGAAACAACCCAGACCGCCAGCUAAGGUCCCAAAGUCAUGGUUAAGUGGGAAACGAUGUGGGAAGGCACAGACAGCCAGGAUGUUGGCUUAGAAGCAGCCAUCAUUUAAAGAAAGCGUAAUAGCUCACUGGUCGAGUCGGCCUGCGCGGAAGAUGUAACGGGGCUAAACCAUGCACCGAAGCUGCGGCAGCGACACUAUGUGUUGUUGGGUAGGGGAGCGUUCUGUAAGCCGUUGAAGGUGUGCUGUGAGGCAUGCUGGAGGUAUCAGAAGUGCGAAUGCUGACAUAAGUAACGAUAAAGCGGGUGAAAAGCCCGCUCGCCGGAAGACCAAGGGUUCCUGUCCAACGUUAAUCGGGGCAGGGUGAGUCGACCCCUAAGGCGAGGCCGAAAGGCGUAGUCGAUGGGAAACAGGUUAAUAUUCCUGUACUUGGUGUUACUGCGAAGGGGGGACGGAGAAGGCUAUGUCAGCCGGGCGACGGUUGUCCCGGUUUAAGCAUGUAGGCGGAGGUUCCAGGUAAAUCCGGUACCUUUUAACGCUGAGGUGUGAUGACGAGGCACUACGGUGCUGAAGUGAUAAAUGCCCUGCUUCCAGGAAAAGCCUCUAAGCAUCAGGUAACACGAAAUCGUACCCCAAACCGACACAGGUGGUCAGGUAGAGAAUACCAAGGCGCUUGAGAGAACUCGGGUGAAGGAACUAGGCAAAAUGGUGCCGUAACUUCGGGAGAAGGCACGCUGAUA
rnacentral:rRNA from 1 species